rnacentral:rRNA from 1 species
AGCGAACGCUGGCGGCAGGCUUAACACAUGCAAGUCGAGCGGGCCCUUCGGGGUCAGCGGCAGACGGGUGAGUAACACGUGGGAACGUACCCUUUGGUUCGGAAUAACGCUGGGAAACUAGCGCUAAUACCGGAUACGCCCUUUUGGGGAAAGGCUUGCUGCCGCAGGAUCGGCCCGCGUCUGAUUAGCUAGUUGGUGGGGUAAUGGCCUACCAAGGCGACGAUCAGUAGCUGGUCUGAGAGGAUGAUCAGCCACACUGGGACUGAGACACGGCCCAGACUCCUACGGGAGGCAGCAGUGGGGAAUAUUGGGCAAUGGGCGCAAGCCUGAUCCAGCCAUGCCGCGUGAGUGAUGAAGGCCUUAGGGUUGUAAAGCUCUUUUGUCCGGGACGAUAAUGACGGUACCGGAAGAAUAAGCCCCGGCUAACUUCGUG